rnacentral:rRNA from 1 species
UACGGAGGGUGCAAGCGUUGUCCGGAAUCACUGGGCGUAAAGGGCGCGUAGGCGGCUCAUGAAGUCUGUGGUGAAAGUCCGGGGCUCAACCUCGGAUCGGCCGUGGCGACUCGUGGGCUGGAGCACUGUAGAGGCGGGUGGAAUUCCGGGUGUAGCGGUGGAAUGCGUAGAGAUCCGGAAGAACACCGGUGGCGAAGGCGGCCCGCUGGGCAACUGCUGACACUGAGGCGCGACAGCGUGGGGAGCAAACAGG